GCCAGCUCACUGGGUAUGGCUACUUGUCUUUACCGUUUACGAGCGGGCAAGGGAUUAUUCAUGAGUAAGCGCAGCUCUGAGGGAAAAUAAAAAUUAAUUAUUCUCCGUCACCAGGUCACCGGUCUGGUCGGGUCGAAAGGGUGCAUGAAAGCGAAACGCUGAUCAGCAAGCUACGAUGUUUCUGCGACCGCGUGGUUGUUUGGUCGCAGCCGCUGAACAAAAGUUACAUGCAUAGGCAAGCGCCUCUACCGAGAUCAGAACAAGCAACAACAUGCGCUACAGUACCGCCUCCGGAUGUGGACGGGUAUAUAAGUUAUGGUUCCAUGCGAGCGGCAGUUCUACUUCUCAUUUCUCUCUCUGCUUCUGUAGUGUACAUGUAGUGACGGUGGAUCGUUGCUACUCGUACGUACUGCUGUCCAGACCAAGACAAACAUCCCAGCAGGUACUUGCAGUAUCUGUUUGCCACUUACACUCUAAAUCCACGGGGACCAGACUGCAAAGCCAGACGGUAAAAGACGCCUAGAAGAUCGCAAAGGGCAGGUGAUAUCAAUAGGUUGUCUUCGUGGAGCAACCCCAUCAGCCAUGCCAACCUAUUACAAGUGGAUCAGCAUCUGUCCCGUGGAAGACUGUUAUGAUUAUGACUAUUCACCCUCCACAUGGACAAUUAAUAAAUGCGGCGGAACCUCGUACCUGGGCGACAACGGAAUGUUCGUGUGCGGCCACAUGGUGUCCGGAACGCAGAAAGUCUAUUCCUGCUCCCGGGGCACCACCGAGUUUGCCUUCUUCUCGUCCGGCUUCAGCUGCGAACGGCAUGGAGACAUCUAUAAGAGAGUGGAGCGGCCUGAGACGAUCGUUGCUGCCAUGCAUGCUGUGGCUGAGAUGAUAUCCAGCACACGUCCAGAUGGUGUGGAUAGCCAAGUGUUCCGGAGAUGGCUGCGAGCCACCACCGCCUCAAUUCUCAAGCAGUACACCUGAGUGCUUGAUCAGACAAUAAUGAUUCUUAUUGUUCCCAGUGAAUUUAAAAAAUACAUGAACACACCAAACACACACACACACACACACACACACACACACACACACACACACACACACAUCAUACACGCAACAUACACACAAUGACACACACACACACACACACACACGCACACACAGACCUCAGUGAAAACAUAAUUUUUCCUUGUCCAAUGCAUCAUCUAGAAUUGUUAUUGCUUGCGUUCUUUCUCAUUGAUAUUCUGUAUUCCUGGUUUUCCGCUUGCGUGUUGAAAACAACACCUAUUCAGGAAGAAAAGGCUGCCCGUAAUUUUCA